rnacentral:misc_RNA from 1 species
UCUGAAUUGGUUUCUUGAUUUUCUGUGGCUUUUAUUGAUUGGAGUUGGAUUUCGAGCUGUCCUCACUCAUGAAAAAUUUAUAUGACUGGUGUUUGUGAACUGUUUCAUUUCCAGUUUUGACUUUUUGGUAAAUUUACUUUGGAAGUUGAUCAGUUCUUUGAAGUGAAUUGAGUGUUCAUUUAGGUUGAUUAGAAAGGUUGGGUGGUUGGAUGUUAGUGUAUUAGGUUUGCAUCUUCUUGAAUCAUAGUUGUCUUGAAAGAUGGCUUCAGGUAUGGGGCUUGAUGAAGACAAUGGUGAAACUAAAGGAGGCAUGUGGGAUUUAGACCAAAAGAUUGAUCAGCCUAUGGAUGAAGAGGCAGGAAGACUAAGAAAUAUGUAUAGAGAAAAGACUUUCUCGUCAUUGUUGCUUCUGCGGCUUGCUUUUCAGAGUCUGGGAGUGGUUUAUGGAGACUUGGGAACGUCUCCUUUGUAUGUGUUCUACAAUACAUUUCCCCAUGGAAUCGAUGAUACAGAGGAUGUCAUUGGCGCACUUUCACUAAUUAUAUAUUCCCUCACACUUAUCCCUCUCCUCAAAUAUGUUUUCAUAGUUUGUAGAGCAAACGACAAUGGCCAAGGUGGGACUUUUGCUCUUUAUUCUUUGUUAUGUCGCCAUGCUAAGAUAAAGACAAUUCCCAACCAACACCGGACAGAUGAAGAGCUUACAACUUAUAGUCGCAGCACAUUCCAUGAGCACUCAUUUGCUGCAAAAACAAAAAGAUGGUUGGAGGCAUAUCCAUUCAGGAAGACCUCGCUUCUUAUUCUUGUAGUUAUAGGCACUUGCACGGUAAUAGGUGAUGGAAUUCUUACUCCGGCUAUAUCAGUUCUUUCAGCUUCUGGUGGGAUCAAGGUGGACCAUCCAAAGAUGAGUAAUGAUGUUGUAGUGAUUGUUGCUGUCAUUAUAUUAGUUGGUCUAUUUAGCGUACAACACUACGGAACAGACAGGGUUGGUUGGCUGUUUGCUCCAGUUGUGCUGCUUUGGUUUCUUUUAGUAGGAGGUAUUGGCAUCUUCAAUAUCUGGAAAUAUGAUAGCUCUGUUGUGAGGGCCUUUUCUCCUGUGUACAUAUAUAGAUACUUUAGGAGGAGAAAGAAAGACGGUUGGACAUCCCUGGGAGGAAUAAUGCUCAGCAUCACAGGAACAGAGGCACUUUUUGCUGAUCUUGCUAAUUUUCCAGUGUCAGCAAUACAGCUUGCUUUCACAGUCAUUGUUUUCCCUUGCCUUCUUUUAACAUAUAUGGGGCAAGCAGCAUACCUCAUGCAAAAUAAGGAACAUGUUGUCGAUGCAUUCUACCGUUCUAUUCCAGAUAGCAUAUACUGGCCAGUUUUUAUUGUUGCAACAUUAGCUGCUAUCGUUGCAAGUCAAGCAACAAUCACCGCUACGUUUUCAAUAAUCAAGCAAGCUCUGGCACAUGGCUGUUUCCCAAGAGUAAAGGUAGUACAUACAUCAAAGAAGUUCCUCGGCCAGAUAUACAUUCCUGAUAUAAAUUGGAUCCUUAUGGUUCUUUGCAUCGCUGUGACUGCUGGAUUCAGAAAUCAAAGCCAAAUUGGCAACGCAUAUGGAACGGCAGUUGUGAUAGUCAUGUUGGUGACGACAUUCCUCAUGACCUUAAUAAUGCUACUAGUUUGGCGCUGCCAUUGGAUGCUUGUCCUCGUCUUCACCUUCUUAUCUCUGGUGGUUGAAUUUACCUACUUCUCGGCGGUGCUAUUUAAGGUUGACCAGGGUGGUUGGGUUCCACUUGUGAUCGCUGCAGCUUUUUUUGUCAUCAUGUAUGUCUGGCAUUACGGAACUGUGAAACGUUAUGAAUUCGAAAUGCAUAGCAAGGUAUCAAUGGCAUGGAUUCUUGGACUUGGCCCCAGCUUAGGACUUGUACGUGUCCCUGGGAUAGGACUUGUCUACACUGAGCUAGCUAGUGGUGUGCCACAUAUCUUUUCUCACUUCAUCACUAAUCUGCCAGCAGUACAUUCAGUUGUAGUAUUUGUCUGCGUGAAGUAUCUUCCAGUGUACACUGUUCCAGAAGACGAGAGGUUCCUCAUGAAGCGCAUAGGACCCAAGAGUUUUCACAUGUUCCGUUGUGUUGCGAGGUAUGGUUACAAGGACCUCCAUAAGAAAGACGAGGAGUUUGAGAGGAAGCUAUUUGAUAACCUCUUCCUGUUUGUCCGGCUGGAGAAUAUGAUGGAAGGUUGCUCUGACUCCGAUGAAUACAGCUUAUACGGGCAGCAAACUCAGCAUUCAGCAGAUUACCUACUGCGAAGUAAUGGCAACUCAACUACAGGAAAUAAUGACUACACAUGUUCGACUGUGGACUCAAUAAUUCCUGUAAAGUCUCCUACUCAAGGGCACAACAACACAGUCACAUCAUCAGGCCGCGAGAGCAGCCAGGCAGAGGCGGAUGAAAUGGAAUUCUUAAAUCGAUGUAGAGAUACUGGGGUUGUACACAUUCUUGGAAACACUGUAGUUAGAGCAAGGAGGGACUCUAGGUUCUACAAGAAAAUUGCUAUCGACUAUAUUUACGCGUUUCUUAGGAAAAUAUGCAGGGAAAAUAGUGUAAUCUUCAAUGUCCCUCAUGAGAGCCUAG